rnacentral:lncRNA from 1 species
UUUUUCUGCAUUUCUUCUUUUUUUUUACAACACAGCACCAAACCCAAAACCCUCUCAAAUCUCAACAACCUAAUCUGGCUAGUGGCGGUGGUGCAGGCACUCUACAGGAGUUGCCGGGAAGCGAGUGGUGUCGGUGCAGUAGUCAUAAACCAUAUGGUUUGCCUUAACCCACAAGAGUUGAUGGCUUUGGUGCAAAUUGAGCUCGGCCAAUGUGGGUUCAUCCCACCAGAACCUUUUCUCACCAUUGCUGCUACAUUUCUUA